UAAUUGAAGAGUUUGAUCAUGGCUCAGAUUGAACGCUGGCGGCAGGCCUAACACAUGCAAGUCGAGCGGUAACAUUUCAAAAGCUUGCUUUUGAAGAUGACGAGCGGCGGACGGGUGAGUAAUGCCUAGGAAAUUGCCCUGAUGUGGGGGAUAACCAUUGGAAACGAUGGCUAAUACCGCAUGAUGCCUACGGGCCAAAGAGGGGGACCUUCGGGCCUCUCGCGUCAGGAUAUGCCUAGGUGGGAUUAGCUAGUUGGUGAGGUAAUGGCUCACCAAGGCGACGUUCCCUAGCUGGUCUGAGAGGAUGAUCAGCCACACUGGAACUGAGACACGGUCCAGACUCCUACGGGAGGCAGCAGUGGGGAAUAUUGCACAAUGGGCGCAAGCCUGAUGCAGCCAUGCCGCGUGUAUGAAGAAGGCCUUCGGGUUGUAAAGUACUUUCAGUCGUGAGGAAGGUGGUGUUGUUAAUAGCAGCAUCAU
rnacentral:rRNA from 1 species